rnacentral:miRNA from 1 species
AUUCACGGGGACGAACCUCCU